rnacentral:lncRNA from 1 species
GAUGACGACAACAGUGGCCAUACACUGACCAAAAGGGGAAGAAGUCCAAGAAUCCAAAUAAGCAUAUGUCCUCCGAGCAGUGGACCAUAGCCUACAUGGAGCCAUUCACACUAAAUGUUUUCAUCUCCAAGUGCCUCAUCUCGACUUCACUCACUCACAAGGUCACGUGCAAGUGGGUCGCUAUUGCAGGUACCAAUUCUAAGGAUAUCAGAGCUGUGCUCAGUCUCAAUCGGACAUACCAGAAUGUUUGGCCAUAGGCCGGGUUAGGCAGACCAGGUGAGGGAAGUUGAUGUGUGCAAGC